GAUAUGUAGAUCCCCAUGCAAAUUGCUUUUCAUUGAGCUCCCAGUAAAAUUCCCUCUAUGCUUUUUGACUGUUGUCAUGUUACAUUCCGGGUUCAAAGAACUAUGGCAAGCUGAGACAUGUUUAUUUAAAUGGAUUUUGUGGAAAUGUAACAUUAGCUUUCUAACACCUGUUUGCAUUUCCAUACAGACUCAAUAGAAAGGAAGCUUUAUUCUCAUGCUGAACAUGCAGAAUAAUAUCUCAAAUCCUCUGCUUCUGAUUGAGGUAGGAAAGGCAAGUUGUGUCUUUUUUAUUUAUUAAUUCAGUUAAUUAUUCAUCCAUCCACCCUAUACUGGAUACUUGCAUUGUCCCAUGCCCUGUGGGUAGUCACUGGUUACAUAAUGUAACUAAUCAUUAAGGGGGCAAAAGCACAUGCUAGUUAGUCUUUACUUCUUCCAAAACUACCAACCAUUGUGUUCAUGCAGGACUCCAGCUAUGUUUUUCCAAAUGAUUUCUCUUGUAUUGAUCAAUUAUAGAGAAGCUGUUGUAUUCUCAUUAUUGAGAGCACUGGAGUAGACUGUUUAAAUCAAAGUGGAAUAAUGUAAAUCAAUACUUGUGCCACCUUGGUAAAGUGGUUAAGUUUUCUUACCUAUAAAAUGGGGACAAUAAUAAUGAUCUGAAAGGAUUUUUAAGAAGAGCAUGCCUGGCAGAUAGCGAACAAUGAAGAAACAUGAGUUGGCUUUUACUUUUUUCUUGCAGAAACGACAUACUUUUUGUAAAGUGUAUUUGUCAUAUUUUGUGUAUUCCUUGGAGAUGAUCAGAACGAUACAGUUAAUCCACUGUACUUGUCAACCUGCACCUCACUUUGAGUGCCUCUAGUUCUCCUUAGUGGCUCAGAUGGUAAAAAUCUGCCUGCAGUGCGGGAGACCUGGGUUCGAUUCCUGGGUUGGAAAAUGGCUAUCUACUCCAGUAUUCUCAUCUGGAGAAUUCCAAGGGCAGAGGAGCCUGGCAGGCUAAGGCCCAUGGGGUCACAAAGAGGUGGACUUGACUGGUGACUAACCACAUGCACACAGGCAGAUUCUAGGGAGAACCUUGGACUGGAGGUGAAAAGAGGUGACCCAGGGUAGUUGCAAGAAGUCCUAGGAGGGAAUUAGCAAGCCAGCUGGAAUCAUAGGACAUAAGGUAUUUGAAUAUGUAAAAAUACACUAUGAGACCCUCUAGCAUAAACCCCUCUUUCUUCAGAUGAUGAAACAUUACUGGAGAGAAUGAGACUUACACAUGGUUACCCAGACAAUGAUGGCAGAGACAGGACUCCUAGUUCAUUUCACAAACUGAAGGUUCAGAGUUGCGCAAUGAUGUGGUAGAGACACGGGACUAGCGAAAAGGAUUAGAAGCUGACCUUUUUCCUAUUCUCAGUGCUGGUCUGCUUGUUUUGUUUUUCUCAACUCUCUCCUCUUUCAUCUGUAUCUCACGUGGAGACCCCCAUCCGGGCUCUCAUUUUGGCUUCGAUCCAUGUGCAGCUGUCUAGUUGAGGUGACCCUCAUAUACUUUUCUGACUGAGAAAUCCUGCUUGGAUCAGUCAAGUCACUUUAGCUAAAAUCUGGAGAAUCCCAGGGACAGAGGAGCCUAAUGG
ensembl:lncRNA